UACGAAGGGUGCAAACGUUGCUCGGAAUCAUUGGGCGUAAAGCGCACGUAGGCGGCCCUGCAAGUCGGAUGUGAAAUCCCUCGGCUCAACCGAGGACGUGCACCCGAAACUGCAGGGGCUUGAGUACUGAAGAGGAUCGCGGAAUUCCCGGUGUAGAGGUGAAAUUCGUAGAUAUCGGGAGGAACACCGGUGGCGAAGGCGGCGACCUGGGUCGAUACUGACGCUGAUGCGCGAAAGCGUGGGGAGCAAACAGG
rnacentral:rRNA from 1 species